UACGUAGGGUCCGAGCGUUGUCCGGAAUUAUUGGGCGUAAGAGCUCGUAGGCGGUUUGUCGCGUCUGCUGUGAAAUCCCGAGGCUCAACCUCGGGUCUGCAGUGGGUACGGGCAGACUGGAGUGCGGUAGGGGAGAAUGGAAUUCCAGGUGUAGCGGUGAAAUGCGUAGAUAUCUGGAGGAACACCGGUGGCGAAGGCGGCAUCCUGGACCGGUAUUGACGCUGAGGCGCGAAAGCUAGGGGAGCAAACGGG
rnacentral:rRNA from 1 species